GCGGGGGUGCCGGAGUGGCCAAACGGGCUGGGUUUAGGACCCAGUGGUUUAGUACCUACGAGGGUUCGAAUCCCUUCCCCCGCA
rnacentral:tRNA from 1 species